UUGCAUAUCAAUAAGCGGAGGAAAAGAAACCAACAGGGAUUGCCUCAGUAACGGCGAGUGAAGCGGCAAAAGCUCAAAUUUGAAAUCUAGCACCUUCGGUGUUCGAGUUGUAAUUUGAAGAUGGUAACCUUGGGUUUGGCUCUUGUCUAUGUUCCUUGGAACAGGACGUCAUAGAGGGUGAGAAUCCCGUCUGAUGAGAUGCCCAUUCCUAUGUAAGGUGCUAUCGAAGAGUCGAGUUGUUUGGGAAUGCAGCUCUAAGUGGGUGGUAAAUUCCAUCUAAAGCUAAAUAUUGGCGAGAGACCGAUAGCGAACAAGUACAGUGAUGGAAAGAUGAAAAGAACUUUGAAAAGAGAGUGAAAAAGUACGUGAAAUUGUUGAAAGGGAAGGGCAUUAGAUCAGACUUGGUGUUUUACGAUUAUCUUCUCUUCUUGAGUUGUGCACUCGUAUUUCACUGGGCCAGCAUCGAUUCGGAUGGCAAGAUAAUGGCAGUUGAAUGUGGCUUCACUUCGGUGGAGUGUUAUAGCUUCUGCUGAUAUUGCCUGUCUGGAUCGAGGGCUGCGUCUUGACUAGAUGCUGCGUAAACAGUACAU
rnacentral:rRNA from 1 species